rnacentral:rRNA from 1 species
GACGAACGCUGGCGGCGUGCUUAACACAUGCAAGUCGAACGGAAAGGCCCUGCUUUUGUGGGGUGCUCGAGUGGCGAACGGGUGAGUAACACGUGAGUAACCUGCACUUGACAUUGGGAUAACUUCAGGAAACUGGGGCUCAUACCGGAUAGGAGCUCCUGCUGCAUGGUGGGGGUUGGAAAGAUUCGGCGGUUGGGGAUGGACUCGCGGCUUACCAGCUUGUUUGUGGGGUAGUGGCUUACCAAGUCUUUGACGGGUAGGCGGCCUGGGCGGGUUACCGGCCACAUUGGGACUGAGGUACGGCCCAGACGCCUACGGGAGGCAGCAGUCGGAAAUAUUGCACAGUGGGCGGGAGCCUGAUACGACGACGCCGCGUGCGUAAUGACCGCCUUCUAGGUAUAAACCGCUUCCGCCUGUGACGAAGCGUGAGUGACGGUAAUGGGUAAAGAAGCACCGGCUAACUACGUG